rnacentral:sRNA from 1 species
AAACGAAUCCGGCAAAUUCGCACACGUGUCAGCACGUUGCCCCAGGGUGCCUACUCCCGCUUUAUAUGCUGUAUAGGGAGCCUGGUUGGGGUAAUUGGACGCGUGGAGGACUAAC